rnacentral:tRNA from 1 species
GUGGGUAGAGCUCAGUGGUAAAGCACAUGCUUACUUAGCAUGCAGGAGGUCCUGGGUUCAAUCUCCAGUAUCUUUA